GGGGUUGUGGCUCGGUGUUAGAGCACUCACCUAGCACUGGUGGGGCCUGAGUUCGAUCCUCAGCACCACA
rnacentral:tRNA from 1 species